rnacentral:lncRNA from 1 species
AACUAUCUGGAUGCUGUGGACUGGCCAAGUUGGUACAUAAAAUUAACUGCUCUGGCCUCACAAGAUUAAAACUUGGUAAGAAAGUAGACACGGAAGUGUGUCUCUGUCCAGUUCCACCUAAACUGUGCUGGCAGAAACUUUGGCUCCUGCUGCUUAGCUCCUUCAGCGACCUGCGAGUCUGUCUCACGAAAAGAUACCGACCGCCAUCUUGAAUUUCUAAGCACUAAACACGAAGAGAUAUGCUUCAGACCCUCUGAGCCCCUUUGUCUGCGUGGAACGGGUCUCUAGUCGCGGGUGGACAAAGCGUAGGAUGAGUGACAAACAGACGCACACAGGAGAGGUCGAGGAAUCUGAAUGUCAUUUUUCAAAUCGAGCAUCAGACUUUUUAUGCAGAAGACAAUAAGGAAGUUGGAUGACAUACCUGCAAGGUACAAAUGAGCUUUCCCAGAUAUCUCUGAAGAUACCAUUUUGAAUAGGACUCACAUCACUCACUGCCUUGGGUGGAGAUCACUCUGGCCAUGCAUAAUCAGAUUAACAUCAACGGUCCUUUACUCUGAAGAAGCCAUGGAGACCCCUCUUGCUGAUUAAGCCAGCUCAGGCUCCUGUGGAUGCUAUGGCCCUGGGCACUGAGCCCAGCAUCUGAACUUGUUCCUGGACCAGAG